rnacentral:rRNA from 1 species
AGCCUCAGGAUAAAAGAUUUGAGGUUAGACCUGCCCAAUGUGAUUAUUAUGAAUGGCCGCGGUACUUUGACCGUGCUAAGGUAGCGCAAUCAAUUGGCUUUUAAUUGGAGCCAGGUAUGAAUGGAGUCACGGGGUUCAGCUGUCUCUUAGUUAUUAUAUUGAAGUUACUAUUUAGGUGAAAAAGCCUAAGAGUUAAAGGGGGACGAGAAGACCCUUAGAGUUUUUCUUAUAUUGAAUUUUUUUUCAUAAUAGUUUUGUUGGGGCAACAAAGGAUCAGAUUAAUUUAACAUCCUUAAUAUUAUUUACCGAUUUUUAUAAAGUUGAAUAAACUACCUUAGGGAUAACAGCAUAAUUUUAUAAAUAAGUUUGUGACCUCGAUGUUGGACUAGGAAACUGAGGGGCUAGCCGCUCUUUAGGUGAGUUCUGUUCGAACUAUUAUUCCU